ACAUUUUGAUAUGAAAUUUUGAAGAUCAUGUAAGUAAAGAUUCGUAUAUAUUAUGGGUGACAUUUUACCCGAUUAUGUAUUAAAUAUUUUUACUGUGCAACAAGCUUUGAACGGCCCUCAUACGUUAAUUAACCCCAAAGAAUUUUUUGAAAUAAUUUUGCUGUAAUACAUUUAUCAUGUUUAUAGUCUAAGUAGUAAUUAUUAAUAGAAAUACAUCCCCCAUUGUCUCAUUAAUUCUUCUGCGUAUUUUUUUAAGAAUUUGUCAUUGCCGGUUGACGUCAGCUGUGAAUGCCUCCUGCUUACUGCCAGCUGAAGCUUGGUCAAAGCCACCUCACAAGAUUGUUGAAGGGUUUUGUCUCCUGGUUGACGUUUCAAUAGCCGUCUGUAUUUGGCAUAUUCUUGGACAGUGGGAUCACCUGGGAGAAGGCAGGAUAUCUUGAAUGUCAUCGAGUCCUGAUGUCUCUCUAAGUGUGGAAACAAGGAUAAAAUAAGUACAGGUGUUGCCAUAGACAACGAAAUUUGAUUAAUAUUCCUGUAGUGAACAUGGUGAAGAUAAGAACAAAAAGAAUUAUUUUUGAAGAGAAUGAAAACACUACUACUUGCCAUUGGAGAGCUGCAGAUUUUGUCUUAUACUUAACACUCAGGGUCAUUGACUGAUGAAAGGGGAUCUUUUAGUGCCAGCACCUAAUGCAACAGGGGAACUCGGUUUAUACGUUCUUAUAAGAAGGACCAGUCUCCACAUCUCACAGUUGGAUUCAAACCUGUGACGGCGGACAAGAAAAAUUUGAUGUUGGACUGCUGAGUGAGAUGUUGGACCACACAUGGCGCACAAUGAAUGGAGCGUAAUCUCAUUUGCAUUCAAUGUUGUUUAACAGGAAUGGACCUGAGGAUUAUAUUUUAAGGUGUUGCUGUUCACAAAGGUAGUUUUCAGACAAAACUAGCGAUCAUGCGUUUAGGUUCCCAUAACAAGGAUUGUACUUCAUUUGGAGAAAUAAGGUGUUGCUGUUCACAAAGAAAUUUGAACAAGAUUCAAGUAAUGAGGAAAAGAGCAGGACAGAUGAUUUAUUAUACAUGUAUAUGGAUAUAAUGGGUUUUGAUUCAGGUUUCGUGCAGAAUUGAAUUUUGCUGUUCUGAUGUUGUGAGAUGGAAAUGGUGAAGAUGGGGUUCAGCCAAAGACUCUGGACGAGAUGGACCGUCAUGGAAUAUGAUGUGACUCCCAUUGAAUGACCACCAGUGAUUCUCUCCUGGCAGGAGAAAGUCCGCAAUCCUCUCGCAGUGCUUCUGAAAAAGGGUUGGCCUGUUUUUUACCAUUUCUAAUGAGAAUGUGGUGUCUCCAAAGGAUGGAAGCAGUUUGGCUUGAUGGCUUAUUGUUGACUCUUGAACUCUAGUGUAAUCAAUUUUAUUUCCAUUUCUUUGUUGAGCAGUGAAUCUGAGCAUGGCGUUGUCAAUAACUUUUCCACAUUGCCUGUUCGAAGUGUGCAGGGAAAUGUUGCGAAGAUCACCAAAAGACCGCUCCUCUUGUUCAGGAAUAAGUGAUCGUAAACAAAAUAUCCUGUUUGUUUGUGGUGCAUGAACAGUUAGAGAGUGGAAAUGGCUGCCAUAAAAUUUCCUAGCCGUCAUCUUCUUUGGUAUGCCGAUAACCGAUUUACAAAGACUGCUAAAUUUGAAUGCUUGGUUAUAAAGUCUGAGUAUCUGCUUUGGUGAUCUCUGAUGGAAAUGCAUAUAGCAUAAAGCUGUAAUUUCAACAAGUGAUGUGCAUAAUUCCAAAAUAUUGUGGGAGAUUCUCUCAUCAUCGUACAUGGACAGGGCAAAUUUAGCUAGUUUAAUGGCAAAGAGUCGAGCAUCAGAACCACGGAUCUGAUUUUUGUCACCUAUGGUGGUUGCUGAAAAUUUUUCAAAUUCCUGUUCCACAGACUUGUCAUCAAAAUGUGACGGCAGCUCAGUGAUGAUAUUUUGAACAACAUUUGAAAGAUCAUGCAAUGGUUCACAGGCAGGGAUUUCAUAUAAGGCCAGUAAGUCAUGGAUAUUUUCACCAGAACAAAACAGUGCAGGAGGGCGCUGGAUUCCAUGAAGUAUGGACUGUAAUUUUUCUUGAAGCUGUGGUUUGCUGAGGUCAUACAGAAACAAACCUCUAGACUCUAACUCCUCCAGCAAGUCCUGCUUCUUCAGGCUAGAAAAUGGGGAUGGAUUGAUCAAGCUAAAUCUUCUCCAGAGAGAGCCUCCCUUGAAAAUUGUGUACCGAUCCUCUAGAGAUGGGGGAUGGAAUCCAUAGGCAAAUUCUAAGUUUUGGUGCUCUUUGGACGGGAUUCCACAAAGGCAACUGAAAUUACCUCCCCUUUGUUGUCCUGCCUCGAACUGCCUUGCUGGUCCAUCACCACUAAAGACACGCAUAAUAUCAUGGACAGGUAUUCCAUUAAUUUCUAUAGGCUCGAGGAGCUCCUUAAGAUCUUCUAUUCUUGACAAUGUAUAGGAUAACUGGUCAAGAUCUGUGCUUUUGGAUUGACCCAAAAUAUAAAGAUAUGGCUUUUCUACUGUAGCCUGAACAUCAAUGGGAGGACGAUCUGGAAACUUUUGGCAGUAUUCCUGGUUUGUAAGAAAUAAGCAGGGAUCAUACAGUGUAGACACCAUGAAUGAUACAUAACUAUGAUUAAGAAUGUCAGAAUGGUCGUGCCAUAACUUUAGGUGACGUGUUCUUUCUAUUUUGAUGAGAUCUUCUUUUGUACCUGAGUUCUUCAUGUGAUAUUUUGACGUCAAAAUGUCCUCGACUUGUUCAUCUGUCAUGUUGUCAUAUUCUGUGUUUGUUCGAAGUUUAAUCAAUUCUCUUUGGUCUUGAUUCAUACUGUUUCGAAUCAUUUUGAUUGGAAUUUUCCGUCCAUAUACAGUUACGGGGUUUUCUUCUAGAUCUCCUGCUGAAUUUAGCUUGUUUCUGAUGAAAGUCUUUGGAACAAUUUUUUCACCAAUAUACAAUUCAUUGCUUUUGACUUUUUCUUUGAUGUCAUCCUGGAGAUGUCGAACAGGGCUUGGUGUAGGAAUGGUGACUUGGGGACAAAGUCUCAUCUUGGCUCUCCUGACUCUUUGAAAGUAGUCUCUGCCACUGACUCUUACAUUUGUAUUGAAUUUGUUUGUGUUAAUUCCAUUUCUCUCAGCAAUAGUUUUCAUAACUUGACCCGCAUUUUUGGGGAUGUUUCCAUUCUUAUUUCUAAGACAAAAUUUAAGGGCUAGACUUCUCCAAAUUACUUUAGAGCCAGGUUUGAGAUUUUGCAUAAAGUCAAGGAAAUCAUUUUUUUUCAGUUGAUAAUUCUGUGUCAAGCCAAUGUGACUUUUUUGCCUUUUUUUGCCCUCUUUGAUUUUGUUUGUUUGUUUUUCAGUUCUAACUUUGGCAUUGUUUGGAGUUUCAAAGUAAGUGUCAAGGCGCUCUCUGUUCAGUUGACUGAAUGAUUUGCCAGAUGCCAAGAAGUUGUUCAAAUCAUUUGAAUUUUCAGAAAUAAUUGAGUGCAUUUUUUCUUUGUUUACUUUUGUUUGUUUGACUUUUUGUUUUUGUUUUUGUGCACUUGAUGUUUUCUCUGUUAAAUUGUAGUGUUUUGAAACUGUUGUUUUCAUAGAAAUGUUGAAUUCUUUUUCCAUUAUAGGAUCUAAAAUUUUGAUGACUUGUUCUGGUUUUGCCAUUUUCAUUUGUUUAACCUCUGUGAAUAGUUCUUCACUUUUUGAUACCACGUUAGAAGCUUCUUGACUAACAGAUUUGUGAAGAACCGUUUCAUUCAUCGACUCUAACUCGCAUGGACUGCAGUUGACCAAGUUAUGCAUUUUUCUUCCUUUUUCAGGCAGCAUGCACCAUUUUUGUAAACCAAAAUUGUUAAUGAACUGUGCCUUCUCACCAUUUUUGUUUGCAUUUUUCCAGUAAAUAAUUUUGUAGUCUUGGGAGUUGUCGUACAAAUAUUGCAUAAGGCACGUGCAUUUUGGGGUAUUUAAACAUGACUCUGUUGUAGAAUUCAUACCGCUUUGACGCUGUGUAUAGAUUACUGAAUUUACCAAGAUCAUUAGACGCUGUUGGAGAAGAACUAUUUUGUUUUUGACUGUAGGAAUUCCAGAAAUCAAUACUUUUUGGGUCUUUGCUAUUUCUAGCUAUAAUAACUUUUGCAAAAUUACAAUAAUUCAUUUUUUUUUUACCUCAAGGUGACAUUCUUUUCGGUGGCAUGAUGGCAUCUAUGUAAUCUCGCAGUCGUGUGAUUUGAAAAAAAAAAAAAAAAAUUGUGUGUGGGUGGUUUAAUUUUUUUUUUUUAGCAGAAAAAUGGAAAAUUUUUCUAUAAUCAAUUUUUUUUAUUGGUUUAUAAUUUUUUUUUGAUGUUCAGUUUAUUUAUUUUGUAAGCGUAUUAAUAUUAAUUCAAAAUUAUUUGUUUGAGUGAAAUUAAUCAGAUUCACAGGUGAGAGUCAUUGUAUGAACAAUUUUAAUAACCGUAGUAAAAUAUGAAAUUCUUAAACAGAAUGUCUAUAAUGAAAUUGUACUAUUGGAUUAUAUUUCAUUGGCGUAGUAUAGAUGU